rnacentral:rRNA from 1 species
GCGUGAGUGAAGAAGGCCUUCGGGUUGUAAAGCUCUUUUGGCGGUGACGAUGAUGACGGUAACCGCAGAAUAAGCCCCGGCUAACUCCGUGCCAGCAGCCGCGGUAAUACGGAGGGGGCAAGCGUUGUUCGGAAUUACUGGGCGUAAAGGGCGCGUAGGCGGAUCGUUAUGUCAGGGGUGAAAGCCCUGGGCUCAACCCAGGAGUUGCCUUUGAGACGGACGGUCUUGAGUGCGGGAGAGGAUGGUGGAAUUCCCAGUGUAGAGGUGAAAUUCGU